rfam:Heligmosomoides polygyrus genome assembly, scaffold: HPBE_scaffold0014295
GCGCCGGUGGUGUAAGGCGAACAUCGCUGCCCGGAAAGCAGAAGAUGCGGGGUCGAGUCCCGCCUGGCGCA